AGGAAAGCGACGGUUAGUUUAUUUCAGUUCAAACACCCAUUCGCUUUUGCCCGUGCAGAGACGAUCAACGCUCAAUGGGAAGAUCAAAAUUAAACAAGAACCGCGAAUUCCGUACUGUUCCAGAGAAACUGGUAAAUGGAAGCCAAUUCGACAGCAUUCAAAUAUAUUUACGUAACUUCGUAGUUUGGCACGACUGGAGAAACGUAGCUUUUAUAUAUUUGCGAAUGCGAAUGCGAAUGCAAAUGCGAAUGGCCCUAAUUGUUACAUCGGGGAGCACAAUCUGGUCGCACGGACGACCGCGAGAAAAACCGUGUUAGUCCGAAUGGCGAGGCUGCGCGCGUUAUGCACAUCUAGCGGUACGUGCGGGCGCACAAACGAAUCACUCACGUUUCCUGUAAAUUGCAAAUUCAUGGUAUAUCGGCGCACAGCCCAAACGUUUUACUGCCCGGCGAUGCGCGAUAACGCCGUGCUGACAGCGGAAUGUCCCAGCCAAAAUGAAUCCAGCGAAUACACGCGAGACGCAUAUGCGGGAAACGUAUUCUCCUAUGUUUUGUUUUUCGCUGGCGUGCUUGGAAUAUCGGAUACAGCCAGUGCCAGUGGCGUAACCCGAAGGAAGACCGGUACACGGUGCGGAGCGAAACAGACCGGCGUGCGCCCAGAGGAUUCGCGGAAACAGGACGGGAUCUUUGCUGACAAUACAUGUUCCUGCCGCAAGUAUGAUACUCGAUGCAACUUUAAAGAAAACCGACGUCAGAGUGCAUCGACCAAUGGACAAAAAACAAACUAUUUUUUAACAAGUUAUUUACUAUUUGAAGUCCAUAAUUGGGCUUUAGAUCACACUCUGGUAUGAUUAUCUCAUUAUUUACAUAUUUUUAAGUCGAUACAAUGGCCAAAGAGUAGGAAUUAAAUCCUUUUGCAAUAAACACUUUAUAAGUUUUAAUUUUUUUCUCGCCCUUGAGCAAGAAAAUAAAACGCGGAAAGCAAAUCGAAAGAAAGAAGUGAUCUUUUCAUAACAAUCCAGCACCAAUUAUGGAAUUUUCAGGCACAAGUAUAUACAAUAAAAUCAAUUUUCUUGAAGUUUUAAACUUUAAACUCGCAUUACAAAAAAACAUCUAAUAACAUUUCGUAUCUAUUACAUGUUCUUGCAACUUAGGGUAUGCACUUUCAUUUCCAUUUGGUUUUAUCUGCAUCUGGGUACGUCUUUUUUGAUUAUAUAAAAAAAAUAAUACAAACAAUUUUUUAUUUACUGUUUUUUACUGUGAAAUAUAUUUUAUUUGAAAAAUAAAAUUUUUUUUCUUUCAAAAAUAAGAAUUUUUAAUUUUUAAACACUGAUGACAUUCACAAUAUUGGAAUUCAAGCGACUCAAACUUAUAUUAACUGCCAACAGUGUUUGAAUCAAAAACUUGAAUAUUAUGUUAAAAAUUUUGUUUUUCGAAGAAAAAACGUUUUCCUUCCAUUUUUAGUAUAAGGAUAUGGGGUAUAUUCGUAAUCAGCGUAGAAUUUCCCAUAAGAAUCCAUAGAUAUCAGUAUUUUGUACACUUUGAUCAUUCACUCGAAGCACUGUGUAACGUGACAAUAUUUUUUACUUUCGUUUAAUGUAUUAGUCCAAAUACUCAGUAAUCAGAUUUUGCUGAUUAUCGUUUUGAAUCGAAUAAGAGGCAAAAAAAUUAAAUUGUUGAAUCAAAUGAAAUACUAUAUUGGACUUAUGUAUGCAAUAUUGAGUAAUUAAACAUUAUUUUAUUAAAUUGCUUAAAGACAUUUUUUACCGACUUCGAAAAGAAGGUGGUUACUCAAUUGACAUGUAUAUUUUUUGUUAUGUUUGUUCGCCGAUUACACUGAGAUGGCUUGACUAGUCGAAAUGCAACCACUUGCAUCUUGUAGAGCAAAGCUUCGCAACCGCUGUGCCGCGAUGAUUUUCUCGAGAAUAAAAAAAUUUUUUAACCACCACAUCAAUUUAAAUUUUUCUAAGUCAUGUAUUCCUCUAAUUUUUGGCCAAUAUGUAAUUUAUCUGAGUUGAAAUUAUACACAAAACGAAAACAUGUAGUUACUAUACAUUACAUGUAUGCUCGAACGUCAACAGCUUUUUGAUUCAACUUUUUAUCGGUAUCAAAAUUAAGGAGUGACACUUUCACUCCUUUUCGAAGUUGGUUAAUAAAAUGUAGGUUAAUUGUUUCUUACCAAAAUUAAUUACAAAAAUUUAUCGAAUGGAAUAAAUCAUAUUUUAUUAAGUGGCUCAAACGUUUUAUAUUAAAAUGAAGGAACAUUUUCGCGAAGGAGGUACAACCUCUGAUAAUAAUUACGAGACACAAUUUUUUACUUCGGUUACUUAGAUCAUCGAGAAAUUAUAUCUCCGUGACAAAUUCAUAAUUAAGUCAAUGCUUAUUCGCCUCAAUAUCUUUCGUUGCUUUUAAAGGGGCUUCUCGAUAUUAAAAUUAUCUCGAUGUUAAUUAUUAAAGUAGACGGUGUUAAUAAAUAUUAUAAAGAUCGAACAUUUAAAGGUUCGCGUGUAAUUUGUGUAUACGUAGUAGUAUGUACACAUUUUAUGAUUUACGCAUCGAUGCAACCUUAAAAAUAUAUACCAACCAUAAAUAAUGAUUUCCCUCUUAACAGGAUUUACAUUGUUUUGUUUUAUUCGCGCGUACCAGUCAUUAAUAUAAUAUCCAAUUAAGCGUGUACUGGUUUUAUUAAAUGCAUAACGUAUCUCAUUACGUGUAAUCGUCUGAUGUUUAUUCGAACGAUAUUGCGGAAUGUUUACGAAUUUUGAAAGUAUACAAGUCACGGUAUUAUUCUUUUCGUAUUGGUGUACAGAGCAGUAAAAUAAAUCUCUGCGAUCGCUAAAUUUUUCAGAAUUAAUUACGUUAUUUAAACACGUAUCCAUUAACGUAUUUACUGUUUGGCAAAGUGUUCAUAUGCAUUCGAAAGAGCUCUUUCUGCUGUACAAAACUGUGAUAAUUGUUGUUUUGAAUAAUUUAAUUUUGUAUUAUAUUUUAUAAAAUUUGUAAGCUAUUUGAGAAGCCACGAAGUUGUAAAAAAUAAAAAUUUUAAAUAUUGCCUUGUGAUUUUGUUAAUUUUCAAAUAUUUU